rnacentral:lncRNA from 1 species
AUGGAGCCAUGGCGGAGCAGGCCUAGCGGGGAGCCAUGGUGGAGCAAGCAGAGCGGGGUGGCUAGGCGGUGCCUGCAGAGCAGGAAGCCAUGGUGGAGCAGAGACAUGGACAGACCACUUGGUCAUGACAGGACAGGCAGAGAGUUCUUGAAUGGCCUUCGUGGCCAUGACAGGACAGACAGGGAGUUCAUGAGUGGCCUCCUUGGCCGUGGCAAUACAGGCAGUGAGUUCAUGCACGGCCUCCUUGGCCGUAACGGGACAGGCAGUGAGUUCAUGCAUGGCCUUCUUGGCCAUAACGGGACAGACAGUGAGUUCAUGAACUGCCUCCAUGGCCAUGGCAGGACAGGCAGAGAGUUCAUGGACGGCCUCCUUGGGCGUGAAGGGACAGGCAGAGAGUUCAUGGAUGGCCUCAUUGGCCGUAACAGGAGAAUUGGCCGUAACAGGAGAGACAGUGUGUUCAUGAACUGCCUCCAUGGCCGUGGCAGGACAGGCAGAAAGUUCAUGGACGACCUCCUUGGCCGUGACAGGACAGGCAGAAGUUCAUGGAUGGCCUCCUUGGCUGUGACAGGACAGGCAGAGAGUUCAUGGACGGCCUCCUUGGCCGUGACAGGACAGACAGAGAGUUUAAAUGUGGGCGCCACCACCUCGGGAGGUUCUGCAGUGGAAGCCACCACCUCUGGAGGUUCUGUAGUGGACGCCGCCACCUCUGGAGGCACUAGGGUGGAUUCACUGUCAGGAGAGGCCUCAGGAGCAGACUCGUGGACAGGAAAGGUCUCUGGAGCGCAGUGUGCAGCCCACACACUCAAAAUGGCGACUGCCGUAACAGGAAGCACUGAGGUCAGGGGAAUAGUCUCUGUGACAGCCAGUGCAGAGGCCCUGGAGAUGCCAGCUGCUUGCACCGACAUCAAUGGUGGGUCCAUCAUACUGGCAAUCAGUCCUGGCCCAAGCUCCGCAUCUGUGGAGGACUCAGGCGUUGCGGCCAUCUUGGCCGGGGACUCAGGCAUGGCAUGA